rnacentral:rRNA from 1 species
UACGAAGGGGCGUAGCGUUGCUCGGAAUCAGCUGGGCGUAAAGGGUGCGUAGGCGGGUCUUUUAAGUCAGGGGUGAAGUUCCUGGAGCUCAACUCCAGAACUGCCUUUGAAUACUGAGGUAUCUUGAAGUUUCGGGGAGAGGGUGGAAGUGGGAAACUGCGAGUGUUAGAGGUGAAAUUCGUAGAGUAGUUACGCAAGAACGAACCAGUGGCGAAGGCGGACUCACUGGCCCGA